AACAAGGAUUCCCCUAGUAGCGGCGAGCGAAGCGGGAAGAGCUCAAAUUUAUAAUCUGGCACCUUCGGUGUCCGAGUUGUAAUCUCUAGAAGUGUUUUCCGCGUUGGACCGCACACAAGUCUGUUGGAAUACAGCGGCAUAGUGGUGAGACCCCCGUAUAUGGUGCGGACGCCCAACGCUUUGUGAUACACUUUCGAAGAGUCGAGUUGUUUGGGAAUGCAGCUCAAAUUGGGUGGUAAAUUCCAUCUAAAGCUAAAUAUUGGCGAGAGACCGAUAGCGAACAAGUACCGUGAGGGAAAGAUGAAAAGCACUUUGGAAAGAGAGUUAACAGUACGUGAAAUUGUUGGAAGGGAAACGCUUGAAGUCAGACUUGCUUGCCGAGCAAUCGGUUUGCAGGCCAGCAUCAGUUUUCUGGGGUGGAUAAUGGUAGAGAGAAGGUAGCAGUUUCGGCUGUGUUAUAGCUCUUUGCUGGAUACACCUUGGGGGACUGAGGAACGCAGUGUGCCUUACGGCGGUUCUCGAAUCUUCACACUUGGAUGCUGG
rnacentral:rRNA from 1 species